AUUGAACGCUGGCGGCAGGCCUAACACAUGCAAGUCGAACGAGUGGCGGACGGGUGAGUAAUGUCUGGGAAACUGCCUGAUGGAGGGGGAUAACUACUGGAAAGGGUAGCUAAUAUCGCAUACUAUGAGAGGUGCCCAGAUGGGAUUAGCUAUUUGGUGGGGUAACGGCGCACCAAGGCGGCGUUCCCUAGCUGGUCUGAGAGGAUGACCAGCCACCCUGGAACGGAGACACGGUCCAGACUCCUACGGGAGGCAGCAGUGGGGAAUAUUGCACAAUGGGCGCAAGCCUGAUGCAGCCAUGCCGCGUGUAUGAAGAAGGCCUUCGGGUUGUAAAGUACUUUCAGCGGGGAUGCGUUACCCGCAGAAGAAGCACCGGCUAACUCCGUGCCAGCAGCCGCGGUAAUAC
rnacentral:rRNA from 1 species